AAGUCGUAACAAGGUACCCGUAGGUGAACCUGCGGUUGGAUCAUUAUUGAAAAAUAAUAUCAUUUUUUUUUAAAUAGGAAAGUGCCUAUGAACCUCUAAAAGGGGAUAGUAGGUCUUCCUAUUCAAAAAAAAAAUAUCAACCUAAACCUUGUGAAAUGAUAUAAUCAUGUCUUUGGAGUCACUUAUUGUAUUAUGAAAGGUCUUAACAACUUUUCUUUUAAUACAAAGAUGAGGACUCCUACUUAUAAACUUAUUUUUAAUAUACUUAUUCUUUUAAUACUAAAAAAAACGAAUAGCCAAUAAGGAGAAAUCUUUUAUUUGUACUAAUCGUUUUUGAAAGUUAUAAUAACAAAUAACUAGUAAAAAACUUUUGACAAUGGAUCUCUUGGCUCUC
rnacentral:misc_RNA from 1 species